GUUAAUUUUCCUUUUUUUUU
rnacentral:sRNA from 1 species